UGGGGAAUUUUGGACAAUGGGCGAAAGCCUGAUCCAGCAAUGCCGCGUGUGUGAAGAAGGCCUUCGGGUUGUAAAGCACUUUUGUCCGGAAAGAAAUCCUUGGCUCUAAUACAGUCGGGGGAUGACGGUACCGGAAGAAUAAGCACCGGCUAACUACGUGCCAGCAGCCGCGGUAAUACGUAGGGUGCAAGCGUUAAUCGGAAUUACUGGGCGUAAAGCGUGCGCAGGCGGUUUGCUAAGACCGAUGUGAAAUCCCCGGGCUCAACCUGGGAACUGCAUUGGUGACUGGCAGGCUAGAGUAUGGCAGAGGGGGGUAGAAUUCCACGUGUAGCAGUGAAAUGCGUAGAGAUGUGGAGGAAUACCGAUGGCGAAGGCAGCCCCCUGGGCCAAUACUGACGCUCAUGCACGAAAGCGUGGGGGAGCAAACAGGAUUAGAUACCCUGGUAGUCCACGCCCUAAACGAUGUCAACUAGUUGUUGGGGAUUCAUUUCCUUAGUAACGUAGCUAACGCGUGAAGUUGACCGCCUGGGGGAGUACGGUCGCAAGAUUAAAACUCAAAGGAAUUGACGGGGUCAUAGCUGUUUCCU
rnacentral:rRNA from 1 species